UACGGAGGGUGCAAGCGUUAUCCGGAUUCACUGGGUUUAAAGGGCGCGUAGGCGGGCAGUUAAGUCAGUGGUGAAAUCCUUGAGCUCAACUCGAGAACUGCCAUUGAUACUAUCUGUCUUGAAUAUUGUGGAGGUAAGCGGAAUAUGUCAUGUAGCGGUGAAAUGCUUAGAUAUGACAUAGAACACCUAUUGCGAAGGCAGCUUACUGCGCAUAUAUUGACGCUGAGGCACGAAAGCGUGGGGAUCAAACAGG
rnacentral:rRNA from 1 species